AAGAAAGUAUUUGUCUUUCUGGCUUUUAUGAAGUAAGCAACCAUGUUGAGGCAGUCCAUCUGACAAGGUACUGCAGGUGGCUUCUAGAAGCUGUGAGCAGUCUCCAGCUGAUGGCCAGAAAAAAAUGUUGGGGUCUUCAGUCACACAUCCUUAAGGAAAUGAAUUCUGGCACAAACAUGAGAGAGCUUUGAAGCAGAUUCUGAUCCAGUUGAGUUUCCAGGUGAAAAUGGAGUCUAGACAAAACCUUUAUCUCAGCCUUGUGAGAUUCUGAACAGAGGGCCCAGGUACCAUGUGAAGGCCUGGGCAUAUAACAUGAAACAAGAAAGAUAAGGCCCUUGCUUACAUAGAACUUGGUGAAGAAUCUAGACCAUAACAAGCACACAGAGAAAACAUAUCACAAAUUGUGCUAAAGUUCUGUAAAGGGAUUAAGAUGGAGUGUCACAAGACUGAAUUAGACAGAGUGCCCUUGAAAGAGAAUACUGAGUAUGUUCCUGUGUCACCUUAUUUGCCAAUAGUGCCAAUUUUUAGAAUGGAGGGUGUAGAUCCAUCCUUUGCAACUGGUGAGGACCUCCUCAGUAAGGCACUGAGCCAGGAGUCUAUACAGCCAUGCCAACAGUUACUUGCAUUAUAAUACAGUAUGCCUCAGGGAAACUAAAAUAUUACAGAAAAACAGAAGAUUUUUAAGUACUAAAAAUCCAGGACCCCAUGGGACUUGGGAUAUGAAGAACACACGAUGAAUCUGAACAAGUCUAGAUGAAGUUUUCUCAGGUUUGGGGAAGAGAAGAAACAGUCAAAGGAGAAAGGAAGAUAUCUAAAAACCCAAUGCGUCCCUCAAGAGGGUCCUCAUACUUUGUAUACAACUUCAGAGUUCUAGACAACAAAAGAACAACCCAACCGAAAAAAGUGGGCAAAAGACUUGAAUAUUCUUUUCUCUACAGAAGAUCUAUAAAUGGUCAACAGAUACAUAAAAAAAUACUUAACAUCAUUAGUAAUCAAGAAAUACCACUUCAUACCCACUAGGCUGUCUAAAAUAAAAAAGACAGAAAAUAACAAAUGCUGGGAAAGUUGUGGAGAAAUUGAAACUCUUACAUGUAGCUGGUGAACUUUUAGAAUGGUGCAGCCAUUUUGGAAAGCAUUCUUGGUAGUACUUCAGAAUGUUAAAUAUAGAGUUACCACAUGACCUAGCAAUUCCACUCCUAAGACUAUACCCAAAGUAAAUGGAAAUUUAUAUGCAUCCAAAUCCUUGGACAUGAAAGAUCACAGUGGCAUGAUUCAUAAUGAGCAAAAGAUGGAAGAAAUUAAAAGUGCUCACCAACUGAUGCAAUGAGUAAAUAAAAUAUGGUAUAUCCAUACAAUUCAAUAUUAUUUGGCAAUACAAAGAAAUAAAAUAGUGAUGCAUGUUACAAUAGGAUUGAACCUGGAAAAGUAUUAUGCUAGAAAAAAAUUUAAAAAGAAAAUUAGAAAUGAAGGAGAAAUAAAAAAGAAAAACACUUAAAAAAGUGUUAAUUCUAAGUGAAAGAGGCAAAUCACAAAACACCACAUAUAGUAUGAUUUCAUUUAUAUGAAUAAUACUGGCAAAUUUAUAGAGACAGAAAACAGACAACUGGAUGUUAGGGGCUGAAAGAGGGAGGAAUGUGGAGUUACUGCAAAAAGGUACAGAAUUUUUUUUUUUUUUUUGGAAAUGGUGAAAUCUUCUAAAAUUAUAGUUUUAACAACUUUGGGAAUAUGCUAAAGAGCACUGAAUUGUAUAUUUUAAAAGGAUGCAUUUUAUAUGAAUUAUAACUCAUAAACAACAGUCAACUAGAAUGAAUGCAAGAGUGUCUUGAAUCACUGAAUCUUGAAUCAUGGUCUAUUCUCUUAUGGGAGAAUUGUGAUAUGGUUUGGAUGUGUGUUUCGCCUCCACAUCUCAUGUUGAAAUAUGAUCCCCAAUGUUGGAGGUGGGGUCUGCUGGAAGGUGUUUGGGCCAUGGGGGUGGAUACAUCAUGAAUGGGUUGGUGCCUUCCCCAUAAUAAUGAGUUCUCACUCUAUUAGUUCAGGCAAGAGCUGGUCAUUUAAAGUAGCCUAGCAUCUCUGUUGUUCCCUCUCUCACCAGGUGAUAUGCCUGCUCCCCCUUCACCUUCUAUCAUGAUUGUAAACUUCGUGAGGACAUCACCAAAGGCUGACAUUGGCAACAUGCUUCCUGUACAAUCUGCAGAACAACGAUGGAACAAAAUAAACAUCUUUUCUUUAUAAAUUACCCGGCUUCAUGUAUUCCUUCAUAACAAUGCAAAGCAGCCUAAUACAAAUUGUCAGUGAGUAGGCAGAUUUUCAGAAUGUAUGGCUAAUUGGAAUUUCCAUGGUCCUAUAUGAGAAGAGAUUUGAAGUAAUUCCAUAGAAUGUUAUGAGCGCCCUGGGAGAAGAAAAAGGGUGAUUUUUCAGAAGGAAAAGAGUGUAAGAAAAACAUGAAAUUCAAUUUUCCAAUGACAGUUCUGAGAACACUUAAACAAGGAGGGAUGUGGGAAGUGAUUUUUAAGUCUGUAUCUAGAAAUAGGAAUUUCUAAAAUAACUGAAUCUUUUUCUGGAGAGAUUAAAAAAAAUACUAACAUUAUUCACCAAGCAAGUAAAAGCAACCAAACUAGCAUGUUCCUUAAUAUCUUUAAGUAUAAUUAAUUGAGUACUAGUAGAAUGCUAUCCCUUCUGACAUCCUCUGGACACUAGGAUGCCAGGAUCCAACGUAACCCUAGAAAACAUAGUGAUCAUCCCAAGAAAGAUUAUAUUUCUAAGGUAACCACUAUGGAUUCAAUGAAACCAAAAGGCAUACUUACACUUUUCCAAUAGGAAAACUAAACACACCACAAUAAUUAUAUGCAUAAUGAAAAUGAGGCUUAGGAGGUUACGGAAAGUGUGCCAAGACUGUAUACUAUUUAUUUAUUGACAAUUUAAGCAGUAGACUUUAAUUCAUUUUUUCUCUAGUAUUGGAGAUUUUCUAUGUCCAGAGACAGAAAAAUGACUCUGAUGAGGAGGAAGUGGUGUGGAAUAUGGCUAGGACAUGGCACCCCCACCAGCUAACCUGAGUCCAUUGAGAGCUCCCUCUGAGAAGGGGAAUUGUGACUGCAUCCAUGUCCACAUUUCCUGUGUAGCAUUGAUGAUAGUGUGUAGACAACAAAAAGCUUCUUGAAAGAAUCAGGGGUGACUCUAGUUCCAGUCUUAAGGGGAGUGCGAACUGUACCUUUAUCCAGCCUUAUCUACCCAUCCAUAAAAACUCUGGAUAUAUGAUACAUGUUUAUAUCUGUUCAUGUUGGAAUUGGAGUGGAGCUAAUGAUAUCUACAGAGUCAUAUACUGAUUGGUACGUAAGUAGUAGUAUUUUGGAGAAAUGAGCUCAGAAUAUAGUUUCAGAAUA